AUGGAGUUCCAGGCCGUGGUGAUGGCGGCAGGAGGCGGUUCCCGUAUGAUGGACCUGACUUCCAGCAUUCCGAAGCCGCUGCUCCCGGUGGGCAACCGGCCCCUUCUCUGGUACCCGCUGAAUCUCCUGGAGCGUGCCGGCUUCGAAGAGGUCAUUGUGAUUACAAGGAAGGAAAUCCAAAAGAUGUUAAACUUGGACACGAAAAUGAAGCUGGACUUUGUGUGCAUCAGUGACAACAUGGACAUGGGUACAGCAGAUUCCCUGAGACACAUUCACCAGAAAAUUAAGACUGAUGUCUUGGUGCUGAGCUGCGAUCUGAUCACAGAUGUUGAUUUAUAUCAAGUUGUGGAUCUCUUCCGGACGCAUGAUGCUACUCUCUCAAUGCUGAUGAAGAAAACCCAUGAACCCACAGAAGCAGUGCCAGGACAGAAAGGGAAAAAAAAGCCAGUGGAGCAGCGCGACUUCAUUGGAGUGGAUGACACAGGGAAAAGAUUGCUCUUCAUGGCUAAUGAAGCUGACUUGGAUGAAGAACUUGUCAUUAAAAGAUCCAUCCUUCAGAAACACCCUAGAAUGCACAUCAGAACAGGCCUGAUGGAUGCCCACCUCUACUGUCUGAAGAAAUAUGUGGUAGACUUCCUUGUAGAAAACAGGACAAUCACGUCUCUCCGGAGUGAACUGAUUCCACAUCUGGUUAGGAGACAGUUCUCUUCUCCCGCAUCCUUGCAGCCAGGACUAGACAACAAAGAAGAGGACCAAAAGAAGAAAGAACAAGCCUCUCAAGACAUUUAUAGUUUCAUAAAGGAAGAUAAUAGCUUGCUGAAACCUGCUCCAGAUAACUCUUGUUGGAAUGAUCAUAGAGGAGAUAUGAAUGAAACUCUCCAUGAAGGAAAAGUGCGCUGCUACGUCCAUAUCAUGAAAGAGGGACUCUGCUACCGAGUGAAUACUCUGGGCUUGUACAUUGAAGCUAACCGACAGGUUCCCAAGCUGUUGCUUAAUCUGGGUCUGGAAGAGCCACUGGUUCAUGCAUCUGCACAGAUCACUGACAGAAGCAUGGUGGGAUCAGACAGCAUCAUUGGGUCAUCCACAGAAGUUGGGGAGAAGACAUCCAUUAAACACUCCAUCAUCGGCAGCAUGUGCACCAUCAAAGACAAAGUUAAGAUAAUAAACUGCAUCAUCAUGAACUCUGUUACAAUUGAGGAAGGGUGCUGUCUUCAGGGCAGUGUUAUUUGUCAUAAUGCCGUGAUAGAGAAGGGUGCAGACAUCAAAGACUGUUUGAUUGGAAGUGAUCAGAGACUAGAAGCCAAAGCCAAACAUGUUAAUGAAGUCAUUGUGGGCACCGAACAGCUGAUGGAGAUAUAACCCAAGUAGGUUUUAAAGAUGAUUUUAUGGAAGCCAGCAGCAGAACCAGAUGUUCAAGCAUCGUAAGAUCAUCCAUACAGAUCAGUACUGGCAGGGUUUACCCUGUCAUUGCUCCUUUCCUGUUCAGCUUUAUAUUUAUGUCUUAAUAAAGAAGUAUUUACAGAGCAGCGCGUCCGUCAGCCCCUCCCCCCUCAUUGGGAUGCGCGCGGGUUUGUGCCGGGUAGUAUCGGUCCCUGCACGCCCGGCGGACGCACUGUACUUUUCCAGCAGAAGGGAGAGCGGGGACCACACAGAUUGUGCCCACUCCAAAGAAUGACUUAGCCGCCCUCCCUGCAGUGUAAACCACGGCCCCGCGGUCCUGCGCCACCGUCCCCGAGCCUGGGAGAAACCGCUCGGGAUGUUGCUUGUGCAUCUCAUCAACGCAGCGGGCGGGCAGCGAGACACAGCCGUAAUGCGGGCUGCUCUCUGCAGCCCAGCUGCUUCGCCAGCCUCCUCCUCCUCCUCUCUCUCUCUUGUGAUGUUGCCCUAUAGCACAGAAGUGUUUAAGCUGCGCCUCUUCUGUUCUGUAAUGCAGCUGAGGAGUUUGGCACUCAUUUCCAUCAGGGCUGAGUUUGGUCCGUUACUUUGAAAUCCUGCCCAGGAGGGGGCUGGAGGGCUGGUAGAGUGCAGAGGGGAAGCGGGGUGUAAGCAGUGGGUACCCUGCCUUAUUUUGAUGGGUCUUUCACUCGAUCACCCAGACGAUCUGUGGAUGACUGUGCCUGCAUCUGUGAGAUGAGUCGAGCACACUGAUGUGAAAGGCACAGCUUGUGGUCAGGGGUUGUGCCAGGAUUGUGAAGCACCUGGAUGGGAUUGAAACUCCAGCUGUUCUUUAACAAUUAUAAAUUGGACACAAGUUCCUACCUAAAAGUUGUUUAUUAGAGUCUAGUAGGAUUCAACAGGACAUUUAUCUGCUCCUGGCAGUUUGACAUCCAGAGGUGCUUACAGCAGCUGGCUGGGAUGGUAUUUCAUUAACCAAAGUGAUGUAUUUAAAAUGUGAGUUUCAUGGGCACCAGUGUCCCCUGAGGAAAAUUAACAUUUCCUAGCUAAUUUGACAGGAGAGGGAUUAUAAUCCAGACAUUCCCCAGGUUUUAUAAGAGCAAAACUGCUCCUCUAAAGGGCCAGAUUGGAAUGGAAAGUAUGGGUAAGGAUGAGCUUCAAGGCCUUUGACAAGCUGCAGAAGGAAGAAAUGUGCUGCACUUAAGCUCCAGCUUUGUGCUAGAAGUUUUGCUUUGCCUGUGUGUGCAAACACGUUCCUAAGGUAGGAAGCCUUUUUCAUCCAAGGGUGGCAGAGGCUUUGCAAAGGUUAAUUAAAGAGUACUCCUGACUCUGUGUGCGGCAAGGGAGCGAGGCAUCCAUCUUGGGUGUGUGGAAACAGAAGCAGAGUGGAGCAUAAUUACCUGGCUUUGCAUUUUACCAGAAAGCUGUGGCAAAGCUGAGAGGUCCACAGGGACUUUGACUCACAGUCCUUUUGCUUAAACACAAAGCCUCCUCCCUCUCUGUUUUUUUUAGGAUAGGUCUUCUGCAAAAGUCCACAUGCCCUUACUUAACAGCUACAGCUGUACCUCCUUGUGCCUUAAUUAUAUGUUAAAGUCUCAGUCCUUUUGUUUAGCUAAUUUAAGAAGAGGGUGGGGGGCUCUUUACUGUGUGGGUUAGAAUUUAGCAUUAAUUUAGUGUUCUCUGACACUUGAAAACCUGGCCGGGAUUUGAGGCGUUUUCUUUUCCUUUUUGCCUUUUACGACCUGCAGGUGUUUGGUGUGAGAUAAAAGUAGAUCCCAAAGUGAGAUUUCACAGCACGAAUUAUCAAAGUGAAGAUUCACUCUUGAUGUAGUCUUCGUGUGUGGCAGUAAUUAUGAAAAAUAAUUCGGGAUAAUAGGGCCUUCAGGAAUCCCAAGGCGAGCAUCGGGAGGUUAACCCUUCCUCAUCUAACCUGGUCUCCGUGCCGCUGUCAUUAUCAGGAAGCAGCAGCUCAUCUGAUCCCUUCUGCAGUGAAGUCAAAGUGGAUGGCUCCCAUCUUCCUGGCAGCCUUGGAGCAGAGCCAUGCAAGGGGGAGGCGAGCAGCCAGCCAUUCCCAGGAACAGUGGUCCUCCCACCCCAGUGGUGUGCAAAGGAACACAAAACCUUUACAGCAGGCUUUGAUCUCGCAUUUGGGACACUUUUUUGGCUUGUGGGUAUGAAGGGGAGAGGGAUGCCAGGCUGAACAGUCAUAUGGCCUCUAGUCUGCAGCCCUAGCAAUAGGACUCUCCUGAACCUCUUGAAGCUGGGCAUCACACGGACUCACCAGGCUUUUAUUUGCUCUGUUCUCCAAGAUUUAUCAUGUUGCCCCUGCUUACUUCCUUUCUGGCUUCUGCACAGCACUUUCCUUCUUCUGGCAGCCUGAAAGAGUGGUUUUCAUCAUGUGCUGCUCAUCCUUUGGACUUUGCUGGUGGAACCUUCUUGUUCUGGGAGACCAGGAUUUUCCUUAUAAAACCCCGAAGGUCUGGGGAACGUCAGUGUUUUCAGGAGGUGUCUUGCUCCCUCCACACUGGCCCAAAUCUGCAGCGAGGGACAGUGGCUGCUCUGGUCCCUAACCUGGUGUCUUGCUAGGGGCAAGGUUAUACAUCAAGUCCCAGGUGGGGCUCACAGAGGAAUUGCCAACGACAGUGUGAUGACCAGACAUGCACAGUGCAUGGCAUAACCCUCUCCCCAGGUACCACUGGCCCUGGAGCACCACAGCGGCCUCC